rnacentral:rRNA from 1 species
UACGGGGGGGGCAAGCGUUGUUCGGAAUUAUUGGGCGUAAAGAGCUCGUAGGCGGUCUGUUGCGUCGGCUGUGAAAACCCGGGGCUCAACUCCGGGCCUGCAGCCGAUACGGGCAGACUAGAGUUCGGCAGGGGAGACUGGAAUUCCUGGUGUAGCGGUGAAAUGCGCAGAUAUCAGGAGGAACACCGGUGGCGAAGGCGGGUCUCUGGGCCGAUACUGACGCUGAGGAGCGAAAGCGUGGGGAGCGAACAGG